AGAUUACUCACCACAGCAGUCAAUACAGUUUCUGCAGCCUCUUCUGCGUCUAAUGCUGAGAAUUGGGGAAAAUAUGACGUGAGAGUGGAUCACCUGGGAGAGCUGGUUCCUCUGACUGCAGGAGGAUUUGUGAAGCAGCUCUAAGGAGACUUUCCAUCCCAUCCCAGACACUGAACGAGCUAGUCCCUGACAAGCAGUUUGAAGUUGAUGAAAACCUGUCAUCAGGAAUCCUCAGAUUCAGGCCUUGUGGCGUUUGUUGCCGUGGGAGACUUAUCUGCAACUGUCUGCACAGUGUGAUGUACGGCAGGACUCGUCUGCAUGAGUUCUCCUACCACCUGUGCUCCCGCUGUGUGCUCCAGCUUUGGCCCAAAGAAGACCUGCUUUUCAUUUGCCUCACAGGAGUGGCCAGUGAAAGCAGC
ensembl:lncRNA